AGAGUUUGAUCAUGGCUCAGGAUGAACGCUGGCGGCGUGCCUAAUACAUGCAAGUCGAACGCUUUGUCUUUAAUUGAUCUGACGAGCUUGCUCUAAUUUGAUUUUAUCUGACAAAGAGUGGCGAACGGGUGAGUAACACGUGGGUAACCUACCUCUUAGCAGGGGAUAACAUUUGGAAACAAGUGCUAAUACCGUAUAAUACCAACAACCGCAUGGUUGUUGGUUGAAAGAUGGUUCUGCUAUCACUAAGAGAUGGACCCGCGGUGCAUUAGCUAGUUGGUAAGGUAACGGCUUACCAAGGCAAUGAUGCAUAGCCGAGUUGAGAGACUGAUCGGCCACAAUGGGACUGAGACACGGCCCAUACUCCUACGGGAGGCAGCAGUAGGGAAUCUUCCACAAUGGGCGCAAGCCUGAUGGAGCAACGCCGCGUGUGUGAUGAAGGGUUUCGGCUCGUAAAACACUGUUAUAAGAGAAGAACGGCACUGAGAGUAACUGUUCAGUGUGUGACGGUAUCUUACCAGAAAGGAACGGCUAAAUACGUGCCAGCAGCCGCGGUAAUACGUAUGUUCCAAGCGUUAUCCGGAUUUAUUGGGCGUAAAGCGAACGCAGACAGUUAUUUAAGUCUGAAGUGAAAGCCCUCAGCUCAACUGAGGAAUGGCUUUGGAAACUGGAUGACUUGAGUGCAGUAGAGGAAAGUGGAACUCCAUGUGUAGCGGUGAAAUGCGUAGAUAUAUGGAAGAACACCAGUGGCGAAGGCGGCUUUCUGGACUGUAACUGACGUUGAGGCUCGAAAGUGUGGGUAGCAAACAGGAUUAGAUACCCUGGUAGUCCACACCGUAAACGAUGAGUGCUAGAUGUUCGAGGGUUUCCGCCCUUGAGUGUCGCAGCU
rnacentral:rRNA from 1 species